UGGAAGUAAAAGUCGUAACAAGGUUUCCGUAGGUGAACCUGCGGAAGGAUCAUUAACGCGCCGUGGGGGGUCGGCCCCUAACCGGGACCCCGGCCCCCUCACCUGGCCACCCUUGUCUAUUCUACCUGUUGCUUCGGCGGGCCUGCAGCAAUGCUGCCGGGGGAGUCUUCUCUCCCCGGGCCCGCGCCCGCCGAGGACACCCUAGAACCUCCGGUUAAAGAUUGACGUCUGAGACAUAACUAUAAUCAGUUAAAACUUUCAACAACGGAUCUCUUGGUUCCGACAUCGAUGAAGAACGCAGCGAAAUGCGAUAAGUAAUGUGAAUUGCAGAAUUCCGUGAAUCAUCGAAUCUUUGAACGCACAUUGCGCCCCCUGGUAUUCCGGGGGGCAUGCCUGUCCGAGCGUCAUUUCAACCCUCAAGCCCGGCUUGUGUGUUGGGCCCUCGUCCCCCGUGGACGUGCCCGAAAUGCAGCGGCGGCGUCGUGUUCCGGUGCCCGAGCGUAUGGGGCUUUGUCACCCGCUCUUGAGGCCCGGCCGACUCCGGCCCCCACUCAACACCCGGGGGGUCUUCGGACCCCCCGACCAGGUUGACCUCGGAUCAGGUAGGGAUACCCGCUGAACUUAAGCAUAUCAAUAAGCGGAGGAA
rnacentral:misc_RNA from 1 species